UGUAAUAGGAAUUGUCAUUCAUUUGGCGUCGUUAGAGCACAUCGGUGGAAGGCCGUACAGAGAGGCCAUACUAAUGGAUUCCAGGUGGGAUAUAAUCGUCGUGGGUAUAUGGCCUGAACUGUUGCAAAGAAAUGCUUUUACGGUGGGUGUUAGCUAGAGAAAACAAGAGCAUAAUUAUCGGAACUAUGCUGCGCCGUAACAAGCUACACAGAUGCUUGCAAACCUCGGACCAUAGCACUGUUGAAUUCGAUCCAGAUCAUCACACCACACAACGGUUGCAGACAAUUCGGCGCUCCAUGAUCCAAAAUCCGAGGAGUGCUUUAAUCAACAAUUAUCUAGAGAGGAGACGGGCUUAUCUGGCAACAGUGGUACCGGAUGUGUAGUGUGAUAGCUUGUUACAUUAUAGGAUUUGAAGUUAUGUGUCAACUAAAGAUGGUCACAAUUAUUUGUAUUUCGCCAUUUAUGUUAUCAAACCCUCGCAGUCAGAAAUAAUGUAUGUUAUUAUUCCUUGUAAGAUAUCAAAAACAGCA